rnacentral:tRNA from 1 species
GGUAGGUUAGCUCAAUGGUUAGAGCUUGGGGCUCACGACCGGGAGGUUCGGGUUCGAAUCUCGCAAGAGGCG